rnacentral:SRP_RNA from 1 species
GCUGGGCAUGGUGGCAUGUGCCUGUAGUCCCAGCUACUCAGGAGGCUGAGGUGGAAGGAUCGUUUGAGCCCUGGAGUUCUGGGCUGUAGUGCACUAUGCCAAUUGGGCGUCCGCACUAAGUUCGGCAUCAAUGUGGUGACUGCUCGGGAGCGAGGGACCACCAGAUUGCCUAAGGAGGGGUGAACCGGCCCAGGUUGGAAAUGGAGCAGUUCAAAACUCCUGUGCUGAUCACUAGUGGGAUUGUUCCUGUGAAUAGCCACGGCACUCCAGCCUGGGAAACACAGCAAGACCCCCAUCUCU